CAUGUCUCAGUACAAGCCGCAAUUAAGGUGAAACCGCGAAAGGCUCAUUAAAUCAGUUAUGGUUCCUUAGAUCGUACCCACAUUUACUUGGAUAACUGUGGUAAUUCUAGAGCUAAUACAUGCAAACAGAGCCCCAACCGGAAACGGAAGGGGCGCUUUUAUUAGAUCAAAACCCAUCGGUGUCGGUCUCCGUCAUCGUACAACUUGGUGACUCUGAAUAACUUUACGCUGAUCGCACGGUCUCGCACCGGCGACGCAUCUUUCAAAUGUCUGCCUUAUCAACUGUCGAUGGUAGGUUCUGCGCCUACCAUGGUUGUAACGGGUAACGGGGAAUCAGGGUUCGAUUCCGGAGAGGGAGCCUGAGAAACGGCUACCACAUCCAAGGAAGGCAGCAGGCGCGCAAAUUACCCACUCCCGGCACGGGGAGGUAGUGACGAAAAAUAACGAUACGGGACUCMUCCGAGGCCCCGUAAUCGGAAUGAGUACACUCUAAACCCUUUAACGAGGAUCAAUUGGAGGGCAAGUCUGGUGCCAGCAGCCGCGGUAAUUCCAGCUCCAAUAGCGUAUAUUAAAGUUGUUGCGGUUAAAAAGCUCGUAGUCGAAUCUGUGUCCCGCGCCGCCGGUUCAUCGUUCGCGGUGUUAACUGGCGUGCCGCGGGACGUCCUGCCGGUGGGCUUAGCUCGAGAGGGCGGCCCAACUCAAUCCCGCCGCGGUGCUCUUCAUUGAGUGUCGAGGUGGGCCGGCACGUUUACUUUGAACAAAUUAGAGUGCUUAAAGCAGGCUAAAACUUCGCCUGAAUACUGUGUGCAUGGAAUAAUGGAAUAGGACCUCGGUUCUAUUUUGUUGGUUUUCGUUANCCCCNGAGUAAUGAUUAAUAGGAACGGAUGGGGGCAUUCGUAUUGCGACGU
rnacentral:rRNA from 1 species